CCGAUGAUAGCUCAGUUGGAAGAGCAUCUGACUGUAAUCGCACUGUAAUCAGGAGGUCCCCGGUUCGAACCCGGGUCGUCGGA